rnacentral:rRNA from 1 species
UGGGGAAUCUUGCGCAAUGGGCGAAAGCCUGACGCAGCGACGCCGCGUGGGGGAUGAAGGCCUUUCAGGUUGUAAACCCCUUUCGGCAGGGACGAAGCGAUCUCGUGACGGUACCUGCAGAAGAAGCCUCGGCUAACUACGUGCCAGCAGCCGCGGUAACACGUAGGAGGCGAGCGUUGUCCGGAAUCAUUGGUCGCAAAGAGCGCGCAGGCGGCUUGGCAAGUCGGGUGUGAAAUCCCGGGGUUCAACCCCGGGACUGCAUUCGAUACUGUCAGGCUAGAGGUAGGUAGGGUAGAUCUGAAUUCCUGGUGUAGCGGUGAAAUGCGCAGAUAUCAGGAGGAACACCGGUGGCGAAGGCGGAUCUCUGGGCCUUACCUGACGCUCAGGCGCGAAAGCUAGGGGAGCGAACAGG